rnacentral:rRNA from 1 species
UGAAACCGUUCAGGGGUAAACCUGAGAAACCCAAAAGAUCGAAUGGGGAGAUUCAUCGACGACGAAGCUGGCUCCCGUUGGCGUGCGAUUCCCCCGUUGGGACCUCGGUUCCAGAACGCGGGGUACACCCCUUCGGCGAAUAACCGGCGACGUAGUCGUGCACUUCUCCCUUAGUAGAACGUCGCGACCCGUUGUGUGUCGGUCUACGGCCUGGGCUAUUUGCCUGUCGCGGUGGCAUUCGUUCGCUCGCGGCAGAGGCUCGGUCGCCCGGCCGGCUGCACGACGGUACUCCGACGGUAUCGGGCCGCAACCAAUCCAUUCUCGAAUGGUAUAUGCGUCCAGGCCCGUCGCGCGUGCGGGGGUUUCUCCGCAGGUAAGCGACGGUGUCCUCGGACCGGCCAAGCUUCGAAUUACCGGUCAGCGACGCUAUUGCUUUGGGUACUCUCAGGACCCGUCUUGAAACACGGACCAAGGAGUCUAACAUGUGCGCGAGUCAUUGGGACAUUGAAACCUAAAGGCGAAAUGAAAGUGAAAGUCGUCGUAAGCGUCGACCAAGGGAGGAUGGGCCGCGUCACGUCGCGGCCUCGCACUCCCGGGGCGUCUCGUUCUCGUUGAGAAGAGGC